UUCCCGGGCAACGCAAGGCCCUGUCGCAGGCGCGCCUACCCGCUGGAUUCCGCGCAUGCGUGAGCCGUUCGGGAGCCCGCGUUAAUGUCCCGGAAGAGCAGCAUAUAGUGCGUGCUAGAGCUAAUGGAACCUACUUACUGGAACCUGCCUUUAACUUUUGAUGAAUUUGACCAUGAGCUGCUUCUCCUCUGCCAGUCACCUCUGCC